GUACCAUAACUAUAAAAGUCCUGUAUGGUCUCAUGAGAUCUGGGGGGAAAAGAGGAAGAUUUCCUUCCAGACGGACAUCUCCAAGUACUUCACCAAGGUGGAGAGGCCAGUAGAACCCGUACCUUCAAUGUCUACAGAAGUAGUUGGACAGCUACCCAGAGAC